UGGCAGUUAGCGGUUCUCUCACUUCAUGUUUUUAAUGUCAUUCUUGCUACAGCUUAUUGUUCUUAACGGUGUUGCUAUUUUAACUGCUGUUGUCACUGUUGCUACUAUAUUCGUGGCUGCUGAGGCAGCUCUGGUUUUAUAUAUAUAACAUACUCUUGAGUAUACUGAUGCAUCUACUCGAACAAUGAAUUUAGGAACAUCGGCUGCAGUUUAUAUUUUAGUAGCUGAUUCCAAAAAUAUGGUUUUUUUGUUUUCAACUGCCAGUCUUUAUCGCGGACCGUCUCUCCAGCUGUGAUGUACACCCUCUUUGCAUCCGGAACUAGAACAUCUUCGGGCGCUGAGAGUGUUUGGGUGAACUCGGUGUCGCUAUGGUUGUUGGUGUUGGUGGUGCUAUGGCUGAAUCUGCUGAUGGUGAUGCUGCUGCUGCUGUCACUGGAGUUCUGGUGGCCGUUGUUGGUGUAGAGAGGGAAGCCCGUCUCUAUUUUUCGCUUAGCUUGGAGCAAUCGACUUUUAAAUGCUUAGGUGAAAAGCAAAAGUAGCACUUUGUUUUUCUUCCAACCUUGACAGGAAUUAUGCUGUCUCCAGGAAGAAAGAUCUGGUCUGGGAUAAGAUUCACAUUCUUUUGUGUUGUUUGAAUGAAGAGUUCUUUAGUCAUCCCAGACCAGUUUUCCUUUUUGGUCUGAUGGGCAUUGAGGAUUUUUGAGUUUUUCUCAAUGUCUACCAUCACUACCGCAAUUAGCCAAGGAAUGGCUAUUUCUAGCGGCACCUGCUGGAUUAUAGCUUUUGCCGGUUUCUGACCGCAGUAGUAAAGAACUAGCAACAGCUUCUUGCUUUUGAGGGGAGUCAGAAAUUGGUGUUUGACUUCUUCUUCGGUUUAGAAUCGAACGUCCACCAUUCUAUAGACCUUUCCUUUCUGUAUAUAUUCCUUUAGAUUCCAGGCGGAACCUAAAGCUUGUUGUAUUAGAGCCUUUUUUUGGCUCUUUCCAUCCUCCUUGACUUUAAUCCAAUUGUACGGUACGUCACUGUGUGACAUAUCG